CGGGGAAUAUUGCACAAUGGGCGAAAGCCUGAUGCAGCAACGCCGCGUGAGUGAUGAAGGUCUUCGGAUUGUAAAGCUCUGUCUUUUGGGACGAUAAUGACGGUACCAAAGGAGGAAGCCACGGCUAACUACGUGCCAGCAGCCGCGGUAAUACGUAGGUGGCGAGCGUUGUCCGGAUUUACUGGGCGUAAAGGGUGCGUAGGCGGAUGUUUAAGUGAGAUGUGAAAUACCCGGGCUUAACUUGGGUGCUGCAUUUCAAACUGGAUAUCUAGAGUGCAGGAGAGGAGAAUGGAAUUCCUAGUGUAGCGGUGAAAUGCGUAGAGAUUAGGAAGAACACCAGUGGCGAAGGCGAUUCUCUGGACUGUAACUGACGCUGAGGCACGAAAGCGUGGGUAGCAAACAGGAUUAGAUACCCUGGUAGUCCACGCCGUAAACGAUGAGUACUAGGUGUAGGAGGUAUCGACCCCUUCUGUGCCGCAGUAAACACAUUAAGUACUCCGCCUGGGAAGUACGAUCGCAAGAUUAAAAC
rnacentral:rRNA from 1 species